rnacentral:ncRNA from 4 species
AAGUCGUAACAAGGUUUCCGUAGGUGAACCU